AGAGCGAACGCUGGCGGCAGGCCUAACACAUGCAAGUCGAACGGACCCUUCGGGGUUAGUGGCGGACGGGUGAGUAACACGUGGGAACGUGCCUUUUGGUUCGGAAUAGCUCCUGGAAACGGGUGGUAAUGCCGAAUGUGCCCUUCGGGGGAAAGAUUUAUCGCCAUUAGAGCGGCCCGCGUCUGAUUAGCUAGUUGGUGAGGUAAUGGCUCACCAAGGCGACGAUCAGUAGCUGGUCUGAGAGGAUGACCAGCCACAUUGGGACUGAGACACGGCCCAAACUCCUACGGGAGGCAGCAGUGGGGAAUCUUGCGCAAGUGGGCGAAAGCCUGACGCAGCCAUGCCGCGUGAAUGAUGAAGGUCUAGGAUUAGUAAAUUCUUCACCGGGACGAUAAUGACGGUACCGGAGAAGAACGCCCGCUAACUUCGUGCCAGCAGCCGC
rnacentral:rRNA from 1 species